rnacentral:rRNA from 1 species
UACGAAGGGUGCGAACGUUAUUCGGAUUUAUUGGGCGUAAAGGGUACGCAGGCGGUGCGUUAAGUCAACUGUUAAAUCUCCCGGCCUAACUGGGAAUCAGCGGUAGAUACUGGCGCACUAGAGGAUGGAAGAGAGAAGUGGAAUUCUUGGAGUAGAGGUAAAAUUCGUAGAUCUCAAGAGGAACACCGAUGGCGAAGGCAGCUUCUUGGUCCAUUUCUGACGCUCAGGUACGAAAGCGUGGGGAGCAAAC